GUAGUGAAGCGUAAUCAAUAAGACACUCAAUUUCGAAUUUUUUGAUGAUACGUUAUUUUGCAUUUCAGAAAUUUACAGUGGCAUGAAUGAAACACGGAAUAAAAUGGAACAUGAGUGAAACAAAAUAUUAAUAUUGGUUAAAACUGGUUUAUAUAUGACCGCAGAACCAGAAAAUGUUGAACAUAAUUAAUAUUAUGUAUGUAAUUUGAAGUAGUGAAGCGUAAUCAAUAAGACACUCAAUUUCGAAUUUUUUGAUGAUACGUUAUUUUGCAUUUCAGGUGACGAUAUGUAUAUAUAAAUAAUCAUCUAAUGCAAAGUGUUAUGUAACACAGAGAGGAAACCUGUUGAUCAAAUGAGUGAAUAUAAUUAAAAGCUCAGGGAUUUUAUAAAAUUUUAAUAAAUUGUAUUGGGACUUCUCUCAAUAAUAAUCGUUUUGAAAGGCCACAAAAAAGUUUUGGAUAGGGCUGCGUGCGAACCAAGUUCAGUAUAUUUACGAAAAAUGUAAUUAAUGAAAGCAACCUUAAGCAAAAUUGCGUAAGAGACACUUACAACGCGCAUGCAAUCAAGAAAUACAUGUAUUUAUGCGACUAAAUAAAAAGUAUAGUAAAGUAAACAAUAACAGUAUAUUACAGCAUUUACUGUAGAGGCGUGUGUCCAAGCACCACGGCGUAUACGCAACCCAUAAAUUCGCAGCUUUGCAGACAACUUGCAUAACGCGGCAACAAAAACAACAGUUUGUGUACACAAAAGACGAUACUAACUCUUACUCAUUGAUAAUUCGCUUUAUCAUUAUGUACACUUGAGUAAUUUGUAUUUUUUUUUUCAUUUUCUUCUUUGCCUCGACUUUCCAAACGCUCAAUGGGGCGGUUCGUUGACGGUUCGCGCUUGUUGCCUGCUACAGUUUUUGUUGUCAAACGUCAGCGCAAUGUCUUUAACCUCCAGUUAGCUGGCAGUCAGUCAUCAGCAACUGCUAUUGUAUUACCGGAAACUUUGAUAUGACCGAGACAAUAUCGCGCUGGCGCUGGCUAAAUAAACGUGCUGCAGUUGCGGUUUUUGCGGCCGCGAAGUUGCAGGCAAUGAAACACAAGCGAACAGAAGAAGUGAAGGAAGGUGCGGAUAAGCAAGCUAAGAUGCAGGCAACUUAAUAAGUUCAAAGAUGGGUUUAAGAAGGUAUCAGGCGUAACUCAUGUG